UGCCUCACAAGGCCAGGGGGAAGGGGAGAGCCAUCAGGACAUGUAUGCUCCAUCAGCAGGUGGGAGCAGGAGACAGGAAACAACAGACCUGGGAGCCAAAGCCUUUACUGGGGUGCAAGUUAUCGCCCAAGUAAGUUUCACAUGGGAAGUUGUAAUUGGUGGGUUUAGAGCAAACAGGGAGGAGUCCCGUGGAUUCAUGCUGCAACUAAGAGGGUGUCUCUGAAGCAUACCUGUGCAGUCUGUGUGGGUGUGCGGGUCAGUAGGGUGAGUCAAGAAAGAUGUAUGUAGUUGUCUCAUAGUGUGAGGCAACACUAUACUGGAUCCACCACACUGAGGAACUGGGAGGAGAUGGAGCCCUGGAAUCUGUAUUGAGGGUGAUUAGGUCUGCUUCUGACAUCAGAAUGUUACACUUCGACUCAAAAUGGACACGGAGGCAACAUAAAAUGAAAUGGAAACAAAAAAGGCUGUGGCCAAUGCCCUCUUGACGCCGGCAUCCCUUUGUGGUUCUACAUGGCACACAGUGCUUCACUUUUGCAGGAGAACUGAGAAUUUUACCUCUUAAAUAAAAGGGAAACAUUGAUGGGCUACCAUUGUCCUGCUGAAGAUGGGGUGGAGAUUAAAAUCAUCCAUGAGGAUCCUGGACGUGAUCCUUUCAUACUCAGAAGCCACUUCAAGGCUCUACCAUGGACAGAGCAUUCAACCGCACUCCCAGAUUACACCGUUCAGGAGGUCAUCAUUUAUAAUGUGUUUGUGUAAGAACUCAAAGGAAACAUUUGUUAAGUUAGAAGAGCGUGGAGAAAAAAAAAGUGACCUAAUGUAGAAGAGAGUAUGGUAGCUUCCCAGGGGGUGUGUAGAAGCAAAGAAAGGAAACCUUUUCUUCAUGCCUUUUGAGUUCAGCAAAGUGGUGUCAGUGACUUAUUAGAAGAGGCUAAUGCCACAUCAUGUGCCUCCUGCAGCUCACGAAGGGGAAGAAAGUUCUACCCAUGCCUUUUAAUUUCAAACAUGGAAUCCUAACAUUUUUAAAAGUCAUGGCUUCGCUUACAUGUGGUCACCCCUCCUCACCUGAAAAUGAUUAUCUCCAUGGAAGUGUUGUAAGAGACUGUGAAUUAGAAUGCUUUG
rnacentral:lncRNA from 1 species